AUUGUAGACAAUUAUUUGAAUAUUUAAAUCAAAUAUUGUUUGUGUUAUUAGUUAUGGUUGAUUGAUAAGUUUUACCUAAACACUCAGCAUUUGGAUUUGUGUUUAGUUUUGAUGAAUUUUACAUUUCUGUGUCAAAGCAAACAUUAUGAAGAUUAUUUAAAAAAUGUUUUAUCUGAAAUGAAACAGGUCACAACCUGACAUGAACUCUUACACACUAGACUAGACUAGUUUAUACUUAACCAAACCACAUGAGCACACAAACAGCUGAUUCAACACAUCAAAUAAAUGAGUAUUUAUAGUUCUAUGUUUUAUAUAAGAUCUUUGUUUUCUUUCCAACACUUUCGUUUGGAUGUCUAAGGUGUCAAGUUCAUAUUGGGUCACAUAGUAUCAACUAGACUGCGAAUCUGCCAGGAGAUGCUCUGAUAGGGUUCAAGUAAAUACAGAACAUAUCCCCUCAUCACUUAAUGUGUGUUGAUCAACUUAUUUUGUGCGUGUGUGUAUGCGUUAUUAUAACAAAUAUUGUUGUGUAUCAGGAAUGCUGAUCAUUCUGCCAUCAUAAUGCAUAACUUAACACAUUUCUACAGAAUAAAAAAAUGGUAGAAACAUGGAUUGUUAAAAUUCAAAGAGACAAAUGACCUGAUUUUGAGAUAACAGCAGCACAAUGUGUACAUAAAGUCUGUUUUGUUAUUAGCCUGUUGGCUAAUCAUUAAUCUCUAAUGUUGUGUUUCUUUUAAACACUAAUAUAGUCCUAUAACUAAGUAUAUAUCUCCAAUUCUACAGAUUACAAAAAUAAUGAUUACGUUUUUUAAGCACAUUGACUGGAAUCAACGGAAGCAGGGUUCAUUUUUAACUAUAUAACAUUUGUACAUAACUUUGGGGGUUCAUAAAGGGUUACCACUAACAGUACUUGCAUAAUGAACUAUCACGUAAUUAGCUUGUUAUCAAGUCAAUCACCCAUUAUUAAGGCAAGGUUCAUGUUCUGAAAAACAUAAUGGAGAAAAUAAAUGGGACAUACUCUUAUGUUCGACACAAACUGGAGACUAGUAGCAAACCGAAUGGAAGUCAUAGAACUGAAAUCUAGGGCUUUCAUGAUAUUCAAAAAAACCUUAGUUUUGUUUUCAAGAUUAGACAAGACGUUGAUUAAUCAUUUAUAUAUAUAAUGUAAUAUAUGUUCUUUAAGGACAUAUAUUUAUAUUUAAUUUUUGUGUAAUAUAAAGCUGUACCUGUCAAAAUGAAUUGUAGUAUCUUGCAAUGUUGCGACUGGCGAAUCAAAAUCAAGCAUUUAAGAGUGCCGUGCAAUAAACAUAUUUAUAGCAUGAAAUGUUAGAUGUUAAACAUUAAAUGAAAAUAAAUGUUUAGUCAUCUGUGUUUCUGUCUAAUGAUUAAAUGUUCUCCUCUCUAUAACUGAGCCUGUCUUAGUCAUGCUGUUUGGGAUAGUGACCAAGUUCUGCAGCGGUCAUGCCCCCAUUUCCUAAUGAAGAAAAUUCUGCAGCUGCCUUGGAAGACUAUCCUGAUGGGAAUAAUGUUUAUGUGUCUGUAUAUGGCAAGGGUCUCAACACUCCUCCUGGUGAUCUACUGUCUUGACGAUUUUAGCCCAACCCCAAUCAAACACAGCCGAAGCAGCUAAUCAAAAUGUUCAGGGUUGCUUGAAAAUAACAGAAAGAUGUGUUGGAGCUUGGUAGGAACUGAAGUCUGCAGGAUCGUAGCUUACUGGGAACUGGGUUGGAAACACCUGGUAUAUGGAGAUAAAAUGAUUGCUUUUAGAGGAUUCGAGCAGUUGCAGAGCAGUAAGGUUAGUAAACUGCAGCACUGGGUUUGCCGUCCCUGCCAAAGGACACCAUCUGUGCGGUGAGAAGUAUAAGAGCGGCAUCUUUACUGGUGUCUGCCUCCGAUCUCAUCAAACAACAUCAGAGACGUUCCAAGAAAGAAAACAAUGGAUUAAAAUGUUUUUGAUUAGGGAAAAAAAUAGAAGUGUAAACUUUGGAUAGAAGUGAACGGAACAUGAGUGGUCUCUCUUGAUCAUAAAUGAGGACAGAUUACAGGACUUUAGAAGGCCUGAAGCCGUGAUCAUCUUGCGGAAGUGCUGCUUUAUCUGUAGCCUGACUCUUUCGCAAUUUCUGCCCUGUGGCCCGUCACACUGAACGUUUUUGGAAUGGAAUUCUCGUGCUGUCCUGCACCAGACUAUUUCGCAAAUACUGCCGUGUUAGUCUAAACACCCUGGCCAUGAUAGACUGAGACAAGACAGAAUAAAUGCCUAAAAAAGGAGAA